UACGUAGGGUGCAAGCGUUGUCCGGAAUUAUUGGGCGUAAAGAGCUCGUAGGCGGUUUGUCGCGUCGGCUGUGAAAACUCGGGGCUCAACCCCGAGCCUGCAGUCGAUACGGGCAAACUAGAGUGUGGUAGGGGAGACUGGAAUUCCUGGUGUAGCGGUGAAAUGCGCAGAUAUCAGGAGGAACACCGGCGGCGAAGGCGGGUCUCUGGGCCAUUACUGACACUGAGAAGCGAAAGCAUGGGGAGCGAACAGG
rnacentral:rRNA from 1 species